GGGAUUGCCUCAGUAACGGCGAGUGAAGCGGCAACAGCUCAAAUUUGAAAUCUGGCUCUUUCAGGGUCCGAGUUGUAAUUUGUAGAAGAUGCUUUGGGUGUGGCUCCGGUCUAAGUUCCUUGGAACAGGACGUCAUAGAGGGUGAGAAUCCCGUACGUGACUGGGUGCCUUCGCUCGUGUAAAGCUCUUUCGACGAGUCGAGUUGUUUGGGAAUGCAGCUCAAAAUGGGUGGUAAAUUUCAUCUAAAGCUAAAUAUUGGCCAGAGACCGAUAGCGCACAAGUAGAGUGAUCGAAAGAUGAAAAGCACUUUGGAAAGAGAGUUAAACAGUACGUGAAAUUGUUGAAAGGGAAGCGCUUGCAACCAGACUUGCGCGCUGUUGAUCAUCCGAGCUUUUGCCCGGUGCACUCGGCAGCGCUCAGGCCAGCAUCGGUUUUGGUGGGCGGAUAAAGGCCUUGGGAAUGUAGCUCUCUUCGGGGAGUGUUAUAGCCCUCGGUGCAAUGCGCCCUACCGGGACCGAGGACCGCGCUUCGGCUAGGAUGCUGGCGUAAUGGUUGUAAGCGACCCGUCUUGAAACACGGACCAAGGAGUCUAACAUCUAUGCGAGUGUUUGGGUGUCAAACCCAUACGCGUAAUGAAAGUGAACGGAGGUGAGAACCCUUAAGGGUGCAUCAUCGACCGAUCCUGAUGUCUUCGGAUGGAUUUGAGUAAGAGCAUAGCUGUUGGGACCCGAAAGAUGGUGAACUAUGCCUGAAUAGGGUGAAGCCAGAGGAAACUCUGGUGGAGGCUCGCAGCGGUUCUGACGUGCAAAUCGAUCGUCAAAUUUGGGUAUAGGGGCGAAAGACUAAUCGAACCAUUGGUAAA
rnacentral:rRNA from 1 species